CCUACGGGGGGCAGCAGUGGGGAAUAUUGGACAAUGGGGGCAACCCUGAUCCAGCCAUGCCGCGUGUGUGAAGAAGGCCCUCGGGUUGUAAAGCACUUUCAGUGAGGAAGAACGCCUGGUGGUUAAUACCCAUCAGGAAAGACAUCACUCACAGAAGAAGCACCGGCUAACUCCGUGCCAGCAGCCGCGGUAAUUCGGAGGGUGCGAGCGUUAAUCGGAAUUACUGGGCGUAAAGCGCGCGUAGGUGGCUUGAUAAGCCGGUUGUGAAAGCCCCGGGCUCAACCUGGGAACGGCAUCCGGAACUGUCAAGCUAGAGUGCAGGAGAGGAAGGUAGAAUUCCCGGUGUAGCGGUGAAAUGCGUAGAGAUCGGGAGGAAUACCAGUGGCGAAGGCGGCCUUCUGGACUGACACUGACACUGAGGUGCGAAAGCGUGGGUAGCAAACAGGAUUAGAUACCCUAGUAGUC
rnacentral:rRNA from 1 species